rnacentral:rRNA from 1 species
ACGGGAGGCAGCAGUGGGGGAUAUUGCACAAUGGGCGCAAGCCUGAUGCAGCGACGCCGCGUGAGUGAAGAAGUAUUUCGGUAUGUAAAGCUCUAUCAGCAGGGAAGAAAAUGACGGUACCUGACUAAGAAGCUCCGGCUAAAUACGUGCCAGCAGCCGCGGUAAUACGUAUGGAGCAAGCGUUAUCCGGAUUUACUGGGUGUAAAGGGAGCGCAGACGGCAUGGCAAGCCAGAUGUGAAAGGUGGGGGCUCAACCCCCAAGCUGCAUUUGGAACUGUCAAGCUAGAGUAUCGGAGAGGUAAGUGGAAUUCCUAGUGUAGCGGUGAAAUGCGUAGAUAUUAGGAGGAACACCAGUGGCGAAGGCGGCUUACUGGACGAUAACUGACGUUGAGGCUCGAAAGCGUGGGGAGCAAACAGGAUUAGAUACCCUGGUA